CGUGUAGGCGGCUCGGAAAGUCGGAUGUGAAAGCCCUGGGCUCAACCUAGGAAGUGCAUUCGAAACUCCCGAGCUGGAGUCCUGGAGAGGAAGGUGGAAUUCUCGGUGUAGAGGUGAAAUUCGUAGAUAUCGAGAGGAACACCGGUGGCGAAGGCGGCCUUCUGGACAGUGACUGACGCUGAGACGCGAAAGCGUGGGGAGCAAACA
rnacentral:rRNA from 1 species